GAUGAACGCUAGCGAUAGGCUUAACACAUGCAAGUCGAGGGGCAGCAUGGUCUUAGCUUGCUAAGACUGAUGGCGACCGGCGCACGGGUGCGUAACGCGUAUGCAACUUGCCUCACAGAGGGGGAUAACCCGUCGAAAGACGGACUAAUACCGCGUACACUCCAUCUUGGGCAUCCAAGGUAGAGGAAAUGAAAUUCGCUGUGAGAUAGGCAUGCGUCCCAUUAGCUAGUUGGUGAGGUAACGGCUCACCAAGGCGACGAUGGGUAGGGGAACUGAGAGGUUGAACCCCCACACUGGUACUGAGACACGGACCAGACGCCUACGGGAGGCAGCAGUGAGGAAUAUUGGUCAAUGGGCGAGAGCCUGAACCAGCCAAGUCGCGUGAAGGAUGACUGUCUUAUGGAUUGUAAACUUCUUUUAUACGGGAAUAACAAGAGUCACGUGUGACUCCCUGCAUGUACCGGAUGAAUAAGCAUCGGCUAACUCCGUG
rnacentral:rRNA from 1 species